UCUUGGGAGGCGGGGCGGGGGGACCGGCUGGGCAGAGCACGACGCUGAGGUGGUGGCGGCGGCCUUAAACAAGUGAGCGAGCGACUCUUUUAGUACCCCUCCACGGGGGAAGGGAGAUCGGGGAGGCAGGGGGCACCGGCGACCUCCGAAGGCUCCGAGGAGGUGUCGGAGUGGGGCGCCAUUCGGUGAGUGUUGACCGAGAAAAGCGAAGUGCCCCGCCCCUCCCUUUCUUCCUGGACCGCGCCUGGCGGCGCCUCCCCCACCUCCCACCCUGCGUUCUACCCCGGACCUGAGCUCUGGGUUCCAAGUCCGGGUGUGGGACGACGACUGCGUGCCAGCCGCUCUCUUUCGCUCCCUACCUGGCCCCCUUCGGCUUGGGGAACUUGGUAACUCCCUGGUACUGCUCCCCAGCCUCAUAGAGGGGAAACUGAGGCCUGGGAGGGCGGCGGGCCCCUCCUCACCAGCGUCUCCGCACAGAAGCCAUGGCCGAACCCCUGAAGGAGGAAGAAGGCGAGGACGGCUCUGGGGAGCCGCCCGGGCCGGUGAAGGCGGAACCCACCAACACCGCUGCCUGUGUAGCGGCCAAGAACCUGGCCCUGCUGAAAGCGCGCUCCUUCGAUGUGACCUUUGACGUGGGGGACGAGUACGAGAUCAUUGAGACCAUAGGCAACGGGGCCUAUGGGGUGGUGUCCUCAGCGCGCCGACGUCUCACCGGCCAGCAGGUGGCCAUUAAGAAGAUCCCUAAUGCUUUUGACGUGGUUACCAAUGCCAAGCGGACCCUCAGGGAGCUGAAGAUCCUCAAACACUUCAAGCACGACAACAUCAUCGCCAUCAAGGACAUCUUGAGGCCCACCGUGCCCUACGGGGAGUUCAAAUCUGUCUACGUGGUCCUGGACCUGAUGGAGAGCGACCUGCACCAGAUCAUCCAUUCCUCCCAGCCACUCACUCUGGAGCACGUGCGCUACUUCCUGUACCAGCUGCUUCGGGGCCUCAAGUACAUGCACUCGGCUCAGGUCAUCCACCGCGACCUCAAGCCCUCCAACCUGUUGGUGAAUGAGAAUUGUGAGCUCAAGAUCGGUGACUUUGGCAUGGCCCGCGGCCUGUGCACCUCGCCAGCUGAGCACCAGUACUUUAUGACUGAGUACGUGGCCACGCGCUGGUACCGUGCUCCUGAGCUCAUGCUCUCACUGCAUGAGUACACGCAGGCCAUCGACCUGUGGUCUGUGGGCUGCAUCUUUGGUGAGAUGCUGGCCCGGCGCCAGCUCUUCCCAGGCAAAAAUUAUGUGCACCAACUGCAGCUGAUCAUGAUGGUGCUGGGUACUCCAUCGCCGGCCGUGAUUCAGGCCGUCGGGGCCGAGAGGGUGCGGGCCUAUAUCCAGAGCCUGCCGCCACGUCAGCCCGUGCCCUGGGAGACAGUGUACCCAGGCGCUGACCGCCAGGCCCUCUCACUGUUGGGGCGCAUGCUGCGUUUUGAGCCCAGCGCCCGCAUCUCCGCAGCUGCUGCCCUUCGCCACCCCUUCCUGGCCAAGUACCACGAUCCUGAUGACGAGCCCGACUGUGCCCCGCCUUUUGAUUUCGCCUUUGACCGUGAAGCCCUCACCCGGGAGCGCAUUAAAGAGGCCAUCGUGGCUGAGAUUGAGGACUUCCACGCGCGACGCGAGGGCAUCCGCCAGCAGAUCCGCUUCCAGCCUUCCCUGCAGCCUGUGGCCAGUGAGCCUGGCUGCCCCGACGUUGAGAUGCCCAGCCCCUGGGCUCCCAGCGGGGACUGUGCCAUGGAGUCCCCUCCGCCAGCCCCGCCGCCGUGUCCUGGCCCGGCACCUGACACUAUCGAUCUGACCCUGCAGCCACCCCUGCCCGCCAGUGAACCAGCCCCUCCGAAGAAAGAGGGCGCCAUCUCAGACAACACCAAGGCGGCCCUCAAAGCUGCCCUGCUCAAGUCCUUGCGGAGCCGACUCCGAGAUGGCCCCAGUGCUCCUCUGGAAGCUCCUGAGCCCCGGAAGCCGGUGACAGCCCAGGAGCGCCAGCGGGAGCGGGAGGAGAAGCGGCGGAGGCGGCAGGAGCGAGCCAAGGAGCGGGAGAAGCGGCGGCAGGAGCGGGAGCGCAAGGAGCGGGGGGCCGGGGCCUCUGGGGGUCCCUCCACUGAUCCCCUGGCUGGGCUGGUGCUCAGUGACAAUGACCGCAGCCUGUUGGAGCGCUGGACUCGCAUGGCCCGGCCCCCAGCCCCCACACCGGCCCCGGCCCACGCCCCAGUCCCGGCCCCCACCCCAGCCCAGCCCACCAGUCCUCCGGCUGGCCCCCCACCGCAACCUGCAGGCUCCACCUCUGGCCCCCCACCGCAGCCUGCUUGCCCACCCCCUGGCCCUGCUCCCCACCCUGCCAGCCCUCCGGGGCCCGUCCCUGGCCCUGCUCCACUCCAGAAUGCCGCCUCUAGCCUCCUGGCUCCCCAGUCGCUUGUGCCACCCGCUGGGCUGCCUGGCCCCAGCUCCGUAGGUGUUCUGCCUUACUUCCCAUCUGGCCCGCCCCCUCCAGACCCCGGAGGGGCCCCUCAACCCUCCACCUCAGAAUCGCCCGAUGUCAACCUGGUGACCCAGCAGUUGUCCAAGUCACAGGUGGAGGACCCCUUGCCCCCGGUCUUCUCGGGCACUCCGAAGGGCAGUGGGGCCGGCUACGGUGUUGGCUUUGACCUGGAGGAAUUCCUAAACCAGUCUUUCGACAUGGGCGUGGCUGACGGGCCACAGGAUGGCCAGGCAGACUCGGCCUCACUCUCGGCUUCCCUGCUUGCUGACUGGCUGGAGGGCCAUGGCAUGAACCCUGCCGACAUUGAGUCCCUGCAGCGUGAGAUCCAGAUGGACUCCCCAAUGCUGCUGGCUGACCUGCCUGACCUCCAGGAGCCCUGAGGCCCACGGCCUGUGCCUUGCUGCGGGGGGCAGACCCAGCUACAAGACUCACAGAAACGUCUCCAAGGGCUGGAGCCUUGGGCCCAGCAGCAGAAGCUUGGCUAGAUUAUUCUGCAGGUUCAUCUCAGACACACUCUGCAGCCUUAAGCAGCCACCUGAGCCACCACCAAGUCAUGGAAGGAUCAGGAAACCUCUACUCCUUGAGCGAUCCUUUUCAGGCUGUGCUAAGAAGGAAUCUAUAACAAGUGCCUAUAUACCAUAUGCCACAGUACCCACGAUGCGUGACUCUACCUACAAUCGGUAAGUAAGAAAUUUUAGUUAUCGUCGUUAACGUCACGAUUGUGAUCUCAGGUGAACGGUGUGCCUUCCAUGUGAUUUUUAUCCUUGCCUGUGGAAGAGAUAGUUGCCUGCCUCUCCGCAUCCUCCAUCGUUCCCUCAGUCCUUUGUAAAGGCAGGGAGCUACUCCGUCUUCCUGCCGUUUGCCCUGUUGCCGGGCACGAUGGCUGGAGCUCCAGCCACCUCUUUGGCCAGUGAGGAUGAGGCCCCGUCAAGAGAUGGCAGAAGAACGUAUGUAGGUGUGGCAAAGCAGGCACUCUGUUCACUGGAUGUGGUCGGGAAUUCGUUGAACCUUCCAGAGAAAGAGGCUUGGUACAUACCAAGAGUCAGGAACACCUCUCUGAAACUGCCGUCUGAAGGAAAUACUCUGACAUUUGACAAGGCGCGUGUACUGGUCAGUGGGCGUAUUCGUGGGCUGCCCACCACGGGAACCUUCUUCCCGUGUUUGGGGGAUUCCCCCCCCCCCCACCUGGAAUACCUGUGCUUGCUCUCCCAGCCUUCCUUGCGGUUCUGUUGAGGGCACCUGACCUCGGUUCAGCCAACCAAAAGCAUUGCCCUGGGCUUUGUUUAGGGAGAGCUUGGUUUAAGAAGCAGGAGAUUGAAGAAUUCACUCUUGGGGCGGCAGUGACCCCCGAGGCAUCUGACUUCUGGUCCUCUGGCUGGUUGGUGGUGGCUUUGCAAGCACGGUACCGAGUCACAUAGGCUCUGGCUCGGGCUGCAAAGCCCUGAGCUUGGUUCUCAGCACCUCUUGGCAAUUGGUUUUCUCUGCCCACGAUCUGCUUGCAAAAGACCCCCUUCUCAUGAGUGAAGAUGUUUACAUGAGGGCUUUUUCACGGCCAACAGCAGACGCCAACCCUGACCAACAUUGUUGGAAGGCUUUCGGGGCCUUGGAAUUGUGGAGGACUAGCGAGACUGGGGACCAGUGGUUGCUCAGGCUGCUCCAAGGUCCUCAGUGGUGGUCUUGUAGUGGGGACAGUCUGUCAGGGUGGUGCUGCUCCCUGGACAGGCCGGGUCUUGGUCAGCCUGCGAGCCAGGAGGCGGGGAGCACCCGUCCCACUGGCCUUGCUUCGGUCGCUUGCCUACCCACUUGGCAUUUGCCCCUCCACCUCCUCAUCACUGGGUUCCCGUGGCCCCUGGCUUCUGGCUGGUUUCGGCCAGUGGGAGGCACCGACAGGAGGUGGAAGAAGAGGGAGGUUGGGGUGUUUGUCCCUGGCUCCCACCCUGCCUAGGACUGUGGUUUCAGCAAUGGCUGUGCCCGCCUCCCCACCUCCAAUUAUAGCUCUUGCCGUAACCCCCUUCACUGGCCCUGAUAACUCCAUAUCCUCCCCUUACCCCUGCCGCCUGGGAUGCUAAGGCCCCCACCACUGCUAGUCCCAGGGUGGCUUCCUUAAUGCCCACGCCCAAGUAAGUAGUCCAUUAAAUUCCCUUACAAACAGAAGCUGAGGCUGCCUUUGUUUCUUGCCAGGACCCUGACGGACACCAGGGCUUUCUUUGGUUUUGUUCUAAAAGCCCAGCUCCCGUGGACUGUCUUAGACAACAGCCAAAGACAAGACCCCCGCACUGUCUGUGGGUGCCGGGCGUCGUGUCUCCAUAGGACUUUCCUAACUGUUCCUCGGCUCAUCACCCGGCCUUCAGCCCGAACCGGGAGAGGGCUGAGGAGGGGAGUUUUUGAAGGGAACUCCCAGGAGCAGAGGGCACUCAAGGAGGGGAGAGGGUGUGUCCCCCAACUCGGGCCAUGCGAGGGGGCUCCAAGAAGGGUGAGGCUGUCUGUAGGAGAGACCCUGGCUGAGCGGCUGCAAAGGGCCGCUACUGCAGCAGGGGGAGGGGCUGUUGGGAAGAGGGCUGGGGCCCUCAGGCUCACUGGCAGGACAAGGAUGUAGUGUCCCUUGAGCACGUCUAGGACACAUCAGGCAUCCUUUAAUCCCUAUGUAGGCAGCUGCGGACAGACAUGACUUUCAGCCCUGCUGGAGCUAGAGGGGG